UACAGAGGGGGCAAGCGUUAUUCGGAAUUAUUGGGCGUAAAGGGCGCGUAGGCGGCUUGGCAAGUGGAAGGUGAAAUCCCUCGGCUUAACCGAGGAACUGCCCUCCAAACUGCCUGGCUUGAGACCGGGAGAGGUGAGUGGAAUUCCCAGUGUAGCGGUGAAAUGCGUAGAUAUCGGGAGGAACACCUGAGGCGAAGGCGGGCUACUGGGCCGAUACUGACGCUGAUGCGCGAAAGCCAGGGGAGCGAACGGG
rnacentral:rRNA from 1 species